AGCAGAUGCAGACAAAAGAUGACGGGCUGAAAGACCUUUUGUUACGGGAACAACCCCAAGACCAGUAAACCCGACUAUGAGAGCUCCAUUCCCUUCUCAAAUGUGUUAUAGGUCAAAGAGUUGGACACAUGGCCAAAAUCUUCAGGCAGGACACAGGCAAAUAGUGCAGGCUUAUCUUAUGCCAAGACUUGUCAACAUUGUCAACCGAAAUCUACUCUCCUGGAAGAAGGUAGUAACGAAGUUCCCGAAGUGGAUAAAUAUGAAGGUCUUGCAUGGUUGUAAGGGUAGCGUUAUUUAAGACUGCUGCAUCGAUGAAGAGGUUAGUCAGAUUGUGUCUUGGAUUUGGUCGGCUCGAAUGUGUGUAGUAUGAAAAUUAUCAGAAUUAUCACCUGUCCAAUGAAAAACUUUUGCAGCUUCAUCCUCUUCUAGCAAAAGAAAUCAAACAGAUGUUCAUAUUAGCAAUGAUCUUGAUUAGUCUUGCAGAGCAUAUGUAAAACAACUGUUUAAAAAAAGGAUUUACCGGGGGAAAACUACAUUAGGACAUAUGAAAUCAACCUGAAAACCGAUGAUCCGUACUAAACCGUAUCCACUACCUCACGCACUCAGAGAUACAGUAAAAGACGAAGUGACUAUGAUGUUGAAUAUGAGAGUAAACGAACCUUUUUGUGCCCUGUAUGCAUCCCCUAGUAUAGUUUUGGUUUAAAAGCCUGAUGGAUCUAAUAGAUUCUGUGUCGAUUUCCGAAAAAUUAACCAAGGUACAAUAUUUGAUGCCGAACCAAUACCAGAUCAGGAGGAAUUGUUCAGGAAAUUGCCAAAGAUUUACAAAAAUAGAUCUCAGUAAAGAUUACUGGCAGGUUCCUAUUCACACUGCUUCUUAGGAACAGCAUAAAGUAGUACUAAAAGAAUUGUUUCGACGAUUACGAGUGGCAAAAAUGACAGCACAUCCCAACAAGUGUUUUAUGGUAUAAAACAAUCAAAUUUCUAGGGCAUGUUUUGAAGGAAAGGGCAAGCUUCAACCUCGACCAGAGAAAAUACAAAUUAUCCUGAAUGCAAAACGGCCGGAAACGAAAAAGCAACUCGUAUAUUUCCUGGGAAUGACCAAUAAUUAUAGAAGGUUCAUUCCUAAUUACUCUGUAAUUGUUUUACCUUUGACUGACAAAAUCUAAAAACAAAGAACUAAACAAAAUAUGUUGGCAGGUAAGUCAAGAGAAUGCUUUUAUCAUGCUCAAGGCUAAGUUAACAUUAACAAGUUCUCGUAUUCUUCGUCUCCCAGACUUUAGUAAAAUCAUUUGUUUUUAAGGACAGCCAGCGAAGGCGGAAUUGGAGUCGUUCUACUUAAGAAUUACGGAACUAAAAAGUUUCCUGUUGCCUACGCCAGCAUGAAGUUGCUGCUUCGAGAGAAGACCUACUCUGUUAUGGAAAAGAGUGUCUUUUUCAAUAACAGCAGGACAGACAAAUCUUUACUGCAAGACAUUGUAUCAAAGAAUCAAUGGCACUAUGCAGCAACAGAGCAUGACCAAUGUUACAAGACAGGAAAAGUACACUGAAUUUUAGUUGGAACAUCUUGCAUAAUUCGAAAGAGUAAUCGCGGUGAAACAACACAAUGAUUUGUAUCUUAACAUGUUACUGGAUCAAGACAACUUGUGUCAUUCUGAAAUAUUGACUAUAUUAUUAUUAUACAGAAGAUAUGAACUAGCGAAUUGCAACAAGACGAGGAAGAGUACCCAGAACUGCUAUAAUUCAUUAUUCUAAUAUAUGCAGUGUAAAGCAUUUUAACUUUUAGUUAAUUUAAUUGGUGAUGCCUAAUAGUUUGCAAGAUAAUUAGAGAAGAAAAAAACACAACAUUUUACUGAAUAUUGAGACAGCUUAAUCACGGUGAAAGAAAACAUGCGAUUGUAUUUUUCUCAGAAUAUCGAGGAAUUUAAGAAAUCAUUUUUAAUGACAAGUUUAUUGCAGAAUCAAGACAGCAUGCAUCAUUGUAAAAUAUUAAACCAAGAGAAACAAUUUCCUAUAAUUAAUUUUUUGUAUAUUUAUAUAAAUUCAUAUUAUAUCAAUUCAUAUUAUGAUUUUGGUUGUGAAGAUUUUAUAAUAAAAAA
rnacentral:lncRNA from 1 species